UUUUUUUUUUUGCGUUAGAGGAUCGAUUCAUAUGCAUAUAUCACAGUUGAAACACAAAUUAGACACAUAAGUAAAUUCUUUAUUUCUUCACAUAUACAUUAUACAGUGUUGUUGCAUACAUCAAAUGCAUCUCAUACAUUAUUCGUCUAAAAUAGAAAUAGUGAAAAUUAAAUAAAAAUGUUGGUGUGAUCUGUGACCACACCUAAUUGCUUUAGGAGAUUUCAAAUAUAAGAUUUAGGCAAAAGAGAAAAUUUAGAGUUGCUUGAUGUCACAUAUUUUGCAACCAAACCAUUUUGGGGCACAAAAUUUGUAACAUUAGCCAUCUCUUAGUACUUUCCAAAACUAUUUAUUUCUUAGGUAAACUCUGAGUUUUUGGGCAAUUGAAAAUCAGUCCCUAAAUUCAAAGUAAUCUCCAUAUUUUUAAAGUCUAUGGUACUAUAAUGCAAAAGUUACAAAUAUCAUACUUUUCACUAGAUUUUUAUUUAAUUGCAAAUCUGUGAAAAAUUAUGCUGAGCCUCCACCGAAUAAACCAUGCUUAGGUGUCAAACAGGGAGACCACUAGUAAAACCUUAGUAGGUGAGUCACCUAGUAGUCAACCAUGUCCAUGUGACAAAAACCAUAUCAGUGUGAACCCCAUCCUGACCGAGCCUCGUUUUCCUCGUAGAGACCAAAACCAGUUAGCAAGAAGAACCACCAUAACCAGAGAGUGGAGAAGAAAAGAAAAAUACAAGAGGGCAAACUCACCCAACAUUAGGUGGAGCAGGGGCUCCAGCUCCAUUAGGAGCAGGUACCCCAGCUCAAGGAGGAGACGCUGAUUCAGUAGAAUCAACCAACCAAUAGAAGCUGCAGUAGAAAAAGAGGAGUUCAACCAUAUAUUUUCACAACCACUGAAUAAGCCACAAAGAGGUAAACUAGAUUAAGAGCAUCAUCCAUGGCAUAUAAUCAUGAUUAGAAGUCAGAUUAUUUUACAAAUCAAGAAUCUAGAGACCAUAUUAUUUGCAUUACAAGGUUACAGUGGCACACAUCUAACUAAUUUUUCUAUUGUGGGACAUUAUGAGAAAUAGAACAGAAAAAUAGAAGGGGGAAAAGGGAUAUGGAGUUACUGGUGAGGGUUGUGGCCGGCAGAGUUGCCAUUUGAGGCAUUGGCCGUCUCCACGGCGACCAUCACAGGAGUUGAGUACCAAUAGCCAUGGAGGACAACAAUGCUCAGAUUCCUUGAGAGAGGAGAGGUGGUAGUAGAGGAUGGAGGUAAAGCAGGAUAUGAGUUUGUGGGAACUAGGGGGAUCAAAUCACUGCAGGGGCAGCUGCUAGGGAGAUCGCCGGAGUGGGGCGUGGCAGCCGGCCUGAGGGAGAGCGUCGGUGUUGGCGGCGCUGUUUGGGGAUGGCGGCACAGGAGAGAAGGCGUGAAGGAGAGAAGGAGAUAGCGAGAGAAGAAGAUGAGAAGAAAGAAAGUGGGCUGGUUGGGCUUUGGUUUUGUGGGCUAGACUAAAUUAAUUAUAUAUAGUCUCUAGGAAAUUAGUUUUAGAUUUAGAAUAGAAUGUGAGCAAGUUUAUAUAGCAUACAAAUUGAUGAUUCUAAAUUUUUGACAUUAGUGCUAAAAUAAAAUCUGAGCAGAGCAAAAUAAAUUUAUAUAACAGUACCUGAUCAUUAUAUUUGCCAUUCAUAAUACAUCAUUCAUAUGCAUUGCAUGCGGUAAAUUUAUGCGUUCGGAAUAUGUCCUUAUUCGGACUUCCGUAUUUUUUUCAGAAGUUCGAGUUCCCGAGGAAUCAUUCAUUUCGACUGAAUCUGAGGGUAUUUGUGGUGUUUUCUAUCCAGGCAAGUCCAUCUCUUGAUCAUAUUGCUUAGUUAUUUCAAAUAUUUGCAACCUAUAUAACUCUCACCAUUGCAUAGAAAACCAGAAAUUUAUUUCUGAAUGUUAAUAUUGUACAUGUGGAUCUGUGGAUCAGUUCUUUGGUGAUCUUAAUAAUUGGCAGUCUGAACUUGGUUGUUGUGUAGUUCAGCUGUAUAUGCUUAACAUCAUAAGGUUAAUUAACAACUGCUGUAGGUAUGCAAGCGCCGUAGCGAUCGUGUCGACCAUAUGACCUGGAAUGGGAUAGGCUGGCUUAGUAGUUCUUUCUUAAUGGCUUUAUCCUGCGGGCUUAAGGACUUCCGCGAAUCCCGUGAGCGUGGGCUAGCGAUGAGGGUUGCCGUUGUUGCGGAAUCCGAUUAGAUGAUGUGGAUCGCCAUUUUUGCGGGAUCCGAUGAUUCGCCGUUGUUGCGGGAAUCACCCGCAGAGAUAAUUGACAGAUGGGAUUGAUGAAAAGCUUGUGACCUUAGCCUUGCUGGCAUACACCAUGAAGUGUGCUUUAAGCGCCGACGGGCAUGGGCGUUAAAAGGUUUAAGGCGUCUAUGGGUAUAGCGACACACCUCUGCAGAGUGUAUGAAUUGUGAUAUGUCACUCCCUGUUUCGGGUAGAAACUGCGAACGCGGUAGGAAAGGGAUCUAUCGGAGAUUCUACCCUGUGGUACUUUAUAUGCAGUAGUGUUUUAUAAUUAAAAUUUGAAUUUUUGCAACAAAUAUUUGUCAAAAACAUUAUGAAUUCUUUGAAGAAUCUUGAAUUCUAGAGAUAGUUGCAUUCACACAUUUUCUUGCUAUUGAUGGGCUUGUUGAGUACCAUUUGUACUCAUCCCCUAUGUUAAUUCCUUGUAUAUAGAUGUUGAAUCAUUAGAAUCUGUUGAACAAGAAUAUAUGGCUGGAAGUGAAGGAACUCACGUUAUGGAUGACAACCAGGAAGGACUCUACGAUGAUGCUGAGAUUGACUAUGAUAAUUAGUAUAUAAUAUGCAUGGUUCAUAUAGUUGCUGUAGUGGUGAUGGUAGUAGCUGUGGCAGCGGUAGUAUUUGUAGUAGUAGCAGUAACAUUAAUAUGAGUAGUAGUAAUAUCUGUAGCAGCACUUGUGAAUUUUCUUGUGUGCUAUAUAUGUGCUGAGUUUUUGGGGUUUGUAUAUUAUUUUGCUGUUAUCGCUCGAGGCUUGUCUUGAGCUGUAUCUAUGGUACUGUAAUAACCGGAACCAAUGCGAUGUUUCUGCUAUGCUACUCUGAUGUGCAUAUCUCUGAGUAAACGGUGUUUAUGAAGAUAUAUGCUAUAGACUUAUAUUCUACUCUUGUUGUGGAAUAUGUGGGUCGUUUCACUUAUCUUGGAACAUUUCCAUUAUGUGGGUGAUGAAGAAAAAGUUACACAGGGAAUGCUAAAUGGUCUAAUUGCAGUGGGCUGCAACUACUUGAUCCUGAUCAUGUGUGCUGCUAUAAUCACAACAACAUUUCAUCUUGCUAUGAUUACAACUCAAGGCAACAACGUAUAUGGGACAAAUCAAUUGCAUGAGAAGCUCAUUGCCAGAUUGAUUCCUUUGACCACGAGAGGAUUGCCCCUGCCAAUUCAUGGUAAUGGCUCAAAUGUCAGAAACUAUUUGUAUUGUGAUGAUGUUGCUGAAGCUUUUGAGGUGGUUCUUCACAAGGGUCAGGUCAGCCAUGUGUAUCAUAUCGGUACUGCGAAGGAAAGAAGGGUGAUUGAUGAGGCUAAGGACAUAUCGGUAUGAGAUUCUAUCCUUUGGCCAAAACUGAAGCAUGUUGAUGUACAGGAGGAUGGAAACAACAGGUGGACUAGAGAUUUUUCAAGUAGAAGCAUUGUAUUGAAAGGGCGAAAAGAUUGUGGACUUUGUUGGUGUGCACUGGAUGUUAUCAGGGACGUGAAAGUUGAUCGGGUCCUGCAACUUUUGAAGCAAUAUGGUUCAGCAAAAUUGGUGAUCAUUAAUUCCUUGAGUAUACCAUGGGAUCCAGGCGGCUCUCGUGUGACAUUGGCUGGGCGUUCUUCUUGUCACAUUGGCUACAUUACAAGAGAAGUAUUAACAGAGGAAAUCAAGUAUAAAUCAUUGCAUCAAACAUAUCCGUUGGUGAAGUUUCCACAAUUAAGGUCAUCGGCUUGGGGACAAGCCGAAUUUUAAGAAAUGGGGAUUGUUAGGAACUCUUGUGGGCUGCAAUGUGGGUCAGUUCAGUGGCCUUCUAAGCCUAGCCCAACCAAGACAAGGAGGAGAACUACAAAACAGCAAAGCUACACUUUCAGGGGCUAUCGCAAGAUCAAUUGGCGAACGGCGACGGCGGCGGCGACCUGGUGGCCAGUUGGCACCUUGUCGAUUUCCUUCCAACCUACCUUCCUUCUCCCUCUAUCUUCUCCAUCUUCCACCACUUGUAUCCCUUAGUUCAUCCUCCUUCCACCUCUAUUUACUGGAGUAUGGUUGCUAUUGUAUUGGAUGCUUGCAUAUUUGAGUGGAAUUGAGAUCAGAGGUUGGAGUUCCUAACACACCGCCAAUGUUCGGCCCUGCGACAUGAAAGGUAGGUUUCCUCCAAGACCAGCAGCAACGGUGUAUAGGCUACACAGGUGAUGUCACAACCAUGCCACUUGCCUGCUGCUGGUGCCUCCAUCUCCCUAACUCACGGAGCAUUUCUUCAGAUCUACAGCCAUGCCAUGCUGAGUCAGGUCCGAUCUACAGCCAUGCCAUGCGGAAUCAGGUCUGAUCCAAUUCCCUACUUGCUCCUCUCCUUUUAUCCUGGUUUACUCUUUCGCUCUCCGAUAUUUGAUUUAUGGCUUGUUCGUGAUUCGUUUGGUUAAUCACGCAUUAGUUUGUUGUUUGCACAUUUAAUCCUCUAAGCAUUAUAAUUGGUUUAUUUCAAAUUUUGUAAUAUAGAAAGAUUCUGCUGACUUGAAAAAAAAAGAUCUGUAAUAAGAUGGCUGAAGUCUUCAUUUCUGUCAGCAACGCGUAACUAGGCUGCACAUGCUCCUUUUUCUUCCAAUUCUAAAUGUGAAGUUAAGAUAUGUGAUUCACUUCCAUCUUAGUUUUGAGAUGCAGCGGUUCGUAGCUUCCCUUGAAAAUCUCAUUUGUUUUUUAAUCCAAUUGCAGGGUGCCGUUGCUCUCCUGGUUUGGAGGUUGGACCAUUUUCUAAGUCAUCUUUAGAUUUCAUAAAAAUAAUAUUAAAGUGAUUAGAAGAAAUUAAGUUAUCCUAAUUCGUGUCUCAAAGUUGGUAAUCGACAACACACUUCGUUAGAACAUAAUAUGUUUUUUUUCAUCAAAAUCAACAGCUCUCGAGUCCAAACAUCAUUGGAAGCUUUUUGGCUCCAUGGCAGAUUAUUUUUUCUUUUAUCCCAUAGUUAUUUUUCUGUGUCGCACUGCUCUACCUCUGGAAUUUUCAUAAUUCCAUAAUUCAAGCAAAAGUGUUUCAAUAUUUUUUUAUACUAUUUUUGGUAAUAGCAUCGAUUUCAUGCCAGUGGCAAGCCUAUCAAGUAUUUUAAUCAAAGAAUGGAACGCUUUUUGUAGAUGUACAGGGAAAAUGGAAAUGGUACAGGUAUUUCAUAUUGUCCUACGAGGUAAUAUUUCUUCACUCGGUAAUCUGUUCAGUCAAUGAAAAGUUGUGCAAUCUCCUGACUCUUUCAGGACAUCGACAUAACUACUACAUGGACAGGGAAGAGUUAUGAGGUAUUAAAGGCCUGAGAUUCAUGGAAAAACAUAUCCUCGGGCAACAUGUUCAUUAAUGUACCAAUGUGCUUGAUAGAAUCCCACUGCAAGGAAAUUUGUAUUGUUCUGAUCAAGGCACAAGUACAGGAGAAAAUUGACGUAUUUUUGGAUAUGCAAGCACUGGGCAUUCAAAUAAGAUCUUUUUGUCAUGCUUUCUAUUUUCUAUUUAACUACUGGAGUAUAACGUCUAUUUUCCCCUGAGCCAAAAUACAGAUGAAUUGUUCUGCAGAGUGUAAAAUUGGGCACAAAAAUGCUGAGUAAUUGCACCAUAAAUCAAUAAAUCACUACGUACUUAUACAGAUUGGAGCUGUUUAUUUUCCUUCCACUCAGGCUUCUUGCUGUUGGUGCAAAUGGACUUGCAAUCAAAUCAAAUGCCCUGUCAUGAGAAGGAAGAGGUGGCCUGGCCAGCCGAGGUCGCGACCGAUGUGCUUGCAAUCAGCGGCAAAGUGGAAGCUAGAGCAGCCGGAUGUCAGCGAGAGCAUGCACUGCCUCAAUCAUGAGCUUGCAUCGCCGAGCUUAAUUCGGAGUCUGCCAUCAACAUAGGUCAUCUUUCCUAACCAACCUCAAUUUGUUUACUUGGUCCACAUCUUUGGCUUCGUACCUCAAGUUUGAUGUAAUUCCUUCAUUUAUGCGCCGGUUAAGUUAUUGCUUGGUUUGCUCUUGUUAUUAAUGAAUUCUUACUAUUUAUAUGAGCAUCUUACAUGACAAAUGCAGAUUGCUACUUACUUUGUCUAGGUAUAUUCACAAGGUCAUUUUUCUUAAAAGUUGAAUUGUUCCCUCUAAAUGAAGGCUUAUUCAACCUAUAGGAAUAAGUUUUUAAAAGUUGAAUUGUUCCCUAGCCUGAAGCAAAUCUCUUUCCUGUUUGAACUCUACAGGAAUGAGCAGUAAUGAGGCUUGAAGGUGAUACAGUUAUCGACUUGAAAUUGUAGUCGGAUAAAGUAUUUGAUUAUUUGCCUCCACAUUUGAUUCGUAUAUAUUAGUUUAACAAAUACAUAAUUGAAAGUGAAGGAUCUGACCUAUAACUGACGCCUAAUGGUAGGCAUUUAAAGGAAUCUGAAAUUGUAACUAACUUUCUUUUGUACGAAAGAAUUCAAAUACAUAAAUGUGCAGAUGCAGCGAGGCUUUUUCAGAAACAAAUAUGAUUCUUACUGUUAAAAUAUCCUCUACCUGGCAGACAUCUAAGGAAGUGUACUCAUUUGAAUUCUGAUUUUGCUUUUUCUCAGGGUUGUUUCAUGUUCUAAAGAGUGUCAUCUGCAAUGCGAUAGCUUUAGAGAGAUGAAAGUCCAAUUAUGCUAGAUUAUCAGUUUUUUUGCAAGGAUGCUAGAAUAUCACUUUGACUUGUUUGGUACUGUCCAAUGCCAAUAGUGGCAAUGAAGACAACUCUUUAUACAUCAUCAGAGGAAAUGCUGACUCCAUUAUUUGUGAUAGAAAAUGUUAAACAUGGUGGAAGCAGGGGAGUAGAAUGUGGAGCAAAUAUAAAUAUAUUUUGAAGCUAGGCAGGACAUGAGGGUGCUCAUACAAAGUGAUUUCUGAGAGCUCAGAUUAAUUUUCUAUCUAUAAAUAACCAUCUCCAUAAAUGGGGUAUAUAUAUGUUUUUUUAAUAGAAGUUUUGCAUACAUUUUUUUGUGCAGUUUCUAUACUCUAGCUAGCGCUGGAAUGGUCCUACUUCUUUCAUUUACAACAUAUCAGCUUGGUUUCCCAUUUGGACUUAAAACUGUAAAUAUGGCAAGCAUGUAGAUAAAGUUGAUCCUACAUGCAUGCCACAACUUAUCAGACAUACCGUCUGCAUACUCUGAUUGUACAUUCAUGUCCAUACAGGGGAGUAAGUUCGGUAAAUUCAUCUUAGUGAACAGAACAUUUGUGCAUUUCAUUCAAUUUUUUGUUUUGUGGUGAUGAGAAGACUAUGUCAUUUGUUAUUCUUCUAUAAGAAAAUAAUUUGUUAUUCUUGUGUAAGAAAAUUGUUUGUUAUUCUUCUAUCUAUACUAAUAUAAAAAGCAUGAGUUUACCCUGCAAUCCAACUGGUGAAAUCACCUAUACCGUGUCUAAUCCAUCACCCACGCAAUCCUUGCCGCUCCAUCCUCCUGGCGCAAACAAUGCCACCAGCCACCACGCCCUCCUCCCUGAAUGAGCCUCAUUACUCCAGUAUAUGCUCCUCCCUAUUAGCGCCACUCCAUCGCUAUUCGUUGCGUUGGUCGAUCAUCGUUGCCACUCGCUAAGCGUCUCGACCGCUGGUUAUUGUUGUGGCGCACCGACAGCUUUCACCAUGACCCCCGGCCACUGGUCCUCGCUGCACGCUGCUGCAUGAUGGCCAUGGUGGCUCUCGAGUGUGGAGACGACAGGGCGAAGGGUGGAGUGAUGUCGAGGCUAGCGGAAUCAAGCAGAUCUAGAGGCCACGUCGCCGGCCGGCCUGUCCGUCGCCACCUAGGCGCUCGCCUCUCAGCCCUCCCGCCUUUAGCUGCUGCCGCGUCGACUGCCACCUUAGGAUUUGAAGGUGGUGCUCUACAACAGGGACGGCGCCACUGUGCCACCAUGGUCAUGAUGGCCCUGGUCCCUGGAGGUCAGGAGGGCAGGGAGGAGACCUCGCUCCGUGACCCCGACGCCGCCGCCGCCGCCGCCGGUUCCUGCACCAUCGUGGGCUCGCGGCAAUGUCGCCCCCUUACAUCUUCUGUGCCGCGCCAUCCAUCACCAUUCACCACGGUCACUCUGUUUCCAUAUCUAUGUCCACGGUUCAUUUGGGUUCUGGUAAGGGAGUUCCUACUCAUCCGAGUCCACAUUUCGGUUCUUCAGUUUUGUUCCGGUAAGGCAAUUUCUAAUUUUCGUUGACUGCCCCGCUUGCUGAUUUCCCUUCCUACUUUUCGUGGACAUCAGGAAGAGGAGGUCCACUGCCAUGUGUGUGAGAGCGACUUGAUCUAAUUUUUCAUGCUUGUGGUGUACAUUGAAAUUUUCUUCACGAUUAUCGUCCUUGCUAUGAAAUGCUUAUGCUAAUGAUUUGAUUGGUAAUCUUUCGAUAUGGAUUGAUCACUGAAUACUGAUGCAUUGGAUCCUUGGAGUGACCGUACAAUGCUUUGCAUUUCUAAUCGUUGUCCCCUACUUUAUACUUCAUUCAGUUCAUGGUAUAUCUCAUUAAUCGAGAAGAAAUUGAUAUGGUACCAAACGAGAUAAGACAAACAAGUUCUUGGACUGUAUGUGGUUACUUUUAAAAGUUAGCAUUCUAACAAGUAUGUUUGUAUAACUUUUUUUCGGUUAUAAUUUCCUUUUUUAUUUGAGUGAAUGCUCAGGUUAUAAUUUUAAUAGUAUAUUGUUAUCUAAAUAAAUGCGGCGCGAAGGUCAUGAGGUAGUUCUGAAAUUUCAGAGAAAUCUUCGAAGAUUUAUAUUUGGAAAAUUCAUAAACAGAGAUAAUGGCAAAUCCCUGGUUUUUGACCAUGGAACUGGAGAGUACAUUUAUCACCAAUGUUGCAUUAGAGUUUGUUUUCAAUAUCUGGAAAUUUUCUUAUUAAUUAUUGGCACCGUGUACAUGAAGCUUUUAUUGUUGAAGUCUCAAUUAACUUCUUACUCCAUUUUGUGUUCCAUGGAAUAUUCUUCUCCUUUUCAUCCCUGAAGCUAAUUUUUGUGUCUUCUUUUUAUCAGGCGAGUGAAUGAAUUUUCUUUUAAUUAGAAAGGUUACCCCCUCCCAUUUCUACUAAAUUAAACUGAUAUGUUUACAGCACAAGAGUCAUCCAGGCUAACAACAAGAAAACGAAGAACUGAUUUUACUUCUUCAUAAACAGGUGCAGAAAUUAGAUAGAAAGAUAACACAAUAUUAAGAUUGCUAGAAAAGAGUUCUAGUUUGCAUGGAGCAAUAACCCUUCCAGUCCGUCAGUUCCAUAUUACUGAAUGUAAAUUAUCGGUAAUAAGAAAUAUCUCAUAGUUUCUUAUUACCGAAUGCUAAUCCAUUGAUUUAAUUUCAGUUCUGGGCUUUUGUCAUCAUGUAUAAACAAAUAAUACCUUCGAGGAUUUUAUUGCCUUCUUAGUUCAAUUUUGGUAAUAUAUUUCUCCCAUGAUGGGAAUCAUGUCCCUUUUUACAGCUUACAUCAAGAUUCUUAAACUAGACUGUUCAUUUUACUUCUGCAGAUUAUUUCACUACUUUCUUGGUUUUAUUUCCUGUCAUCAGAUUUUACAUUCACAUGUACAAAUGAAGUAAUGGUUACCAUUAUUUUUGCUUGCUCUAUAUGUAUGCACCCAUAUGGCUUUUUACUAACCAAGCCGUAGUAUACUGGUAUCUGAUCCGGCUAGCUUGAUCCUCAUAUCCUUCCAUACAUUAUGGCAUUUCCGUUUGCCAGCCAAUGGAGUGCGCUCCUUUUUGCUCUAUCCUUUUUUUAUAUAAAGUUUUAUUGUGCUCCCCUGUAUUUUCCAAUAUUGUGAUUCCUUCAACAGAUCCACACAUUGCUUACGAUACAUGACUUUAGUUUUUUUGUCUAAAACUUGAUGUGCGCUUUUCUUUUGCAGUAUUUUUGUUGAAGUCAAAUUUCAAUGGCAAAUCAAUUUAAACCAUCUUAUACUUAAAUGGCUGGGAAGUUAGCUAUAAGCAGGUGAUGGAGAUAAUUUUGUUGUAGACAUAGGAUUGAGCUCACUUCUGUUGACAUCAAUAUAAGCACACAAGGUUCAAGAAAGUUUCAGUAAGAAAAUUGUUUUUUAGUUCACAAUAACGAUGUGUUGAUCUCUUUUGAGAUUGUUGUUGCAACUCCAGUCCCGUACAUCACACGUAGUUAAUAGCUCAGUUAUUUCUGAAUUUUGAUACUACUUUUAGAGCUACUGACCUAAAAAUUCCUAAAUUUAUAAUAUGAUUAUGAAUUUCCCAUGAUAUAUUUUAUGGAAAAUGUGCAUUGCAUGUGCACGCUUACUAGUAUUGAACAAAAUUAUUUUGUGGUUUACUUAGUAACCAUGAUUCAUUGAUUCCAUCCAAGUUCCCGUUAAAAUUUUCUCCUUUGUGCGCUUACAUAGAAAUUGUGUUGAGAAAUAUAAAAAAAUGUAUGCCCUUUAUUAUCAUUUGUACUCCAGGUUAAUGGUGUAGAUCCUCUGGUCAACCAUUUCCACCAUCACCCUCUGGAUCAAGCAGUUGUCAUCCUCAAGAUUGCCCCACAACUAUUGAGGUUGAGUUCGCAUGUCGCCACUACCCUCGAGUUCCCCCGCUAGCUACUAUUUCUAAACGGGUGAGAAUCCUAUAUCAUAAUGUCGCUACCAUUACAGUCAUUGGUACACGGGUCUCAACUUAUUAUUGCCCCACACGUCAGUUUCUAUAAUGAUAGUGUUAUUAUAGUAGAGGAUGUGAACCCAUCCUAAAUAGUGACAUUGAUACAUCUUCAUCGCUGUCACUGUCUCCAAAUCCGACAAAUGAUAUACUAGCAGCAGCGUAAUGGAACUAGAGAUGGCAAUGGUUCCCUAGUCCUUGGAUUCCCCGCGGUGAAUCCUCCCAUUAGGAGGAGGGGGUGGUAUAAAAUAUGUCUCCACGGAACAUUAAAUGGAGUAAAAACACUCUCCAUCGGGUCUGGCGGGGGCGGGUUUGGUUCACCAUCCCUCGUCCCCGCUCUCCGUGGAGGUCCGACGUAACAAUGUAUGUGUAAUAUUAUCAUGUAUAUUUGGCCCAUCUAGCCCAUAGAAACUAGGCCCAAAACGUAGAGUAUAUAAAGUAUCUACAAAACCCUAGCCAUUCCAAUCCCUUCUCCCUUUCGUCCCCAUUCCCCACGCCGUCGCAGGCUCGUAGCCUAGCUAGCGGCGUGCCGGUGCCGACUCCCGAUCUCAAUCUCGUAGGGCCGCCGCGCGCCUGCCGCGUCAGCACCCUCGCAGGGUCGCCGGCUUGUCGUGCUCGCGUCCGCGCAGGGCCGCUGCGCCUCCAGGUCUCGGCACUGCCGCACCAGGUCCCAGCGCCACAGUCGUCUCGGUCUCUCGGCAGCACUGAGGACGCCAAGGACUUGGCACCGGCCACCAGACGUUGGGCUCAUCCUCCACUGUCCAUCCAUCCAUUCUGAAUUUCUGAUCCGUCAUCUGGGCUUAUUUGUUUUACUGAUGGUGGAUGCAGGUGAAGGCUACGGUGGCAAGAAAGACCUACUCCGAACUAUGUUUUUGUGUAUGCCUGGACAACAUGUGUAGCGGUGAUAACUAAUGAGUGAUCGACUGGUGAUUGAUUAAUGAUCAUGUGUUAUUGUGUUGUUGCUUAAUAUGAGAAUUUGAUGGAUAGUGUUGCUGAGGGGAAAUUCUUGGGUACAAAUUUGUUGUACUGCUUGUUGCUGCAAUGCUGUUGCAACUGAAUAAGUAAUAAACUGAUGAUGUGCAUUUGUGAAUUUGUGAACUUGUGAUAUGAAUUUGUGAACUUGUUUUCUUGUAUAAUUAUGUUGUUGUCAUGUGCUGAAAUUGCAUGGCCAGAAUUGCUAUUUUGAGUGAUAAUCUUUUUAUCAAAAUUAUUGUUUGAUAUGUGAAAUAUAUACAUGAGACUCGCGGGGAUGGAGGCUCCACGGAGGCGAUGAUGGUGAAAGAUGUUACCCCGUUGCAUUUCACGGUGAUGGUGAUAGGGGAAAUUCUCCUCCACCGAGGCGGGUCUGGUGGUGUAACCUCCGACGGAGAAUUCCCCGUUGCCAUCUCUAAAUGGAACAAGCAUGCUCGGCCCGAUGGAUCUGUACGUGCUCAACGCCAAGCGCACCAAAGGUCUUAGGCUCGAUUGAUAUUGAUCACUUACCCAAUUAAAUAUUAAAUCACUUAUUCCUUUUAUGUAUGUAAGCAAGCAUCAGAUAGAGCCCUGGUACACGUGAAAACGCAUGCAGUGGCAGAGGAUUCAGGGGGAUGACGAAGAAAGUGGAUGGGGAGUUGCGAUUGCCAAGAUCAUUGAUGCCGUUCUCAAUGUGGGAAAACACAUAAUAGAUAUAGGGUGUGUUUAGUUCACGUUAAAAUUGAAAGUUUGAUUGAAAUUGGAAUGAUGUGAUGGAAAAAUUGAAAGUUUGUGUGUGUAGGAAAGUUUUGAUGUGAUGUAAAAGUUGAAGGUUUGAAGAAAAAGUUAGGAACUAAACUAGGCCAUAUAUGUAGGUGUUGAUGAACUUGACUGCAUGUAUUGGCCUGUUCAAGUUCACUGUCAUUGGUGCAUGGAGCAUAUAAAUACACGCGAAAACUUUUCAUUAUAUCAGAUCGUGAAUAUUUGGACACAUGUAUGGAGUAUUAAAUAUAGAUAAAAAAAACUAAUUACACAGAUUACGUGUAAAUUGCGAGACGAAUCUUUUAAGCCUAAUUGCUACAUAAUUUGAUAAAGUAGUGCUAAAGUAAACAUUUACUAAUGACGGAUUAAUUAUGUUUAAUAAAUUCGUCUCGCAGUUUACAGGCGAAAUUUAUAAUUUAUUUUGAGUAUACGUUUAAUACUUCUAAUGUGUUCCCGUAUAUCCAAUAUGGCACGCUAAAACUUUUCACCCGUGAAUCUCCUAGCCUAACUUAAACACUCUCAAACAGACAUGUAAUUACAGAUGCACACAUGCUGUCACACAUGCAAGAUUAGAUCGAUAUAAUCAACUUUAUCCAAUUUUAAUUGCUCCAUCACUAGCUAGCCAUUGUUUACACGUUCCCUCCAAUAAAUCGCCAUCGACUUCACUGCUGCCACUUCCGUCGCCACCGACUCAGCUGCCGUUGCCACCGCCGUCGUCGCCACAACUGUCAUCUUUGGUGCCGCCACUAUACGAUGUCCCAGACAAGACAGUGAGUUUAAGUUCAACUAGCAAUAAUCACGCGCUACGCUGCGUGUGGAUUUGAAGGUAACAUCAUACUCAAAGCAGCCCAAAAUGGUUACAGUUGUCAAGUUUGCGCCAAGAGCAUACUUGCAUUUACACUUUAUUAAUAUUUUCAAGAUCAAAUGUGAAUUGUUCUGAUCGGUUCGUUCAGAGAACAAUUUGUACAACCAAUGCACAGUAGUGUAAAAGCCUUUCCAGUGUGAUGUAGAUUACAGAAAAAGAUCAAUGUUGAGUCGGUAAUCAUUAGAAGGCAAGGCGCAUACCUGAAAAUUUUUCAUAUAGAAAUCUUCAUCACGAAACAAUGAGAUCUUUUCACAUAGCACCUGCAUUGUGAAGGAUAUUUUAGUGUUUCGGCGCAAUAAAAACAACAGUAUAUAACCAAAUGUAUGUGCAGCAAUUUAGAUGACUGCUGCUUACUUGGAAAGUGCCAGUGACUACUGAGCUAUGUCCAAUAGGCCAACAUUAUGUCCAAGAGUUCGGUUUUACAUGCAUGAAGUGGAAACAAAAUGUUGCAAUUUCGAUUGAUUAAGCGCAAAAAUAACUAAUGAAAUCAUAAUGUCAAGUCAACCUAUGAUGCAAACUUCAUAGAAGUAUAUGUAAAAACAGAGAUUCAAUUUGAAAGAUGAUGGGUCAGUAGCAAAUUCCAGAAAUAUCGCUGUAAGGAAAAAAAAGAAAGAAAGACCCCAUGUGCACCUAUUGAAGCAUAUUUUUUUUAUAUCCAUCAUUUAGAGACUUAUUUAGUAUAUCUGACAAUUGUAGUUGCUAUGAUUAAUCGAAUUUACGGAGACUACCUAGAUGAGAUGGCCAAGAGACUUUUAGCAUGAUAUGAUAUACUUACCUUAAUCGUGGCCAAAAGACUUGAAACAUGAUAUGAUAUAGUUGCUCUGAGGUAUGGAGGUAUGGCUAUUUAAAGUUAUUUGCAUGAUCCAAAUAUAGGGGUAAAAGGUGGGGGGGGGGGGGGGGGCAGCAAAUCAGCAGAAAAAUUAUCAUAGAUGGGAAACAUACCAGAUGGAGCAUGUGGUUGCUGAUUUACAUUCCAUGCCAAGGAAUAAAAGGGAACAUAUAAUUUAUAAGUUUGUAUUGUCCACUUGCUAUUUAAAUUCAGAAUAUGUAGAUUAUUUUAAAGUAAUGAUAUUAUCUGAAUAUCCUUUUUCCAGAAUAUGCAGACACAUUUCAGGUUUAUAAGCUUGAAAAAAAAGGCACUAACGAACAUUCCAUCGUUGGUCAAAGAAUCCCAUCAUAGAUCAACUGGCCUAAAAAAGAAGAAAAAUAAGUGUUUCAUGCAUAGAAAGUGGUUUCAAUUUUAUAUCCAUCUGUUGGAUAUUAAGACAAAACUUGAAGGAGAAUAACUAUUCCACAUUGGUUCCAGAUAAUUAAUUACAUCCUUUUCAUGAGAAAGCAACAAUUAACAAUUACUUUUGUUCCCCAUAACACAUUGGGCCAGCUGUACUUCCCAACUAUCAUGAACAAUUUGUUUAAACAAAAAUUAGCAAUAAAGCACAUGGGACAUUAUUCAAAUACCAGUAUGUCCACUAUCAUUGUCAGUAAGUUCCAAACACUGUCAAUGGAUUGUAGUUCCUACACUAUAAGAACUACCUCAUCCAAUAUCCUACUAUCCCCAACUGGUUGUCAAUAACUGUAAGCCUACCUGACCAUUUGAAAUAAAAUAUUUGAUAGUUUUGGAACACAGGUAGCUGCUUAAAUAGUAUAUAGUCUUCAAUAUGAAAUGUCACAUUUUAGCAAUAUGACUAUGCAUGUAGCAUGUUAAGCAUAUUUCUCUUAUCAAUAACUAUUUCAAUUCUAAACAAAAACUACAACAUGAGUAUAUGUUUUUCUUUAUUGCCUAAAUUCACACACCUCAGAUGAGAUACCAUACUUCCCAAAAAUGCAUUAGUGCUCGUACAGAGAGAACCUAGCUAGUAUUUCUUAGUAUACCUCUAGCUAAGAAGAGGAACCAAAUUAGGCGACAAAGACUAAUGCACCUCGUGCAAGCUGGUGUAUAAUAAAAAAAAGUCCCAUGGCUACAGCAUAGGACAAUCUUUGUUAAAAUUCCAGUUCUAAAUAGGUUACAAUGACUUCGUAUGAUGUUCAAAAAAAGUAAUUGAUUCGUAUUGAGGCAAAACAAAACUUACAUAGAUAUGUUCCACUUCAUAUGCACUGGGAGGGAUACCUGCAUCUAGAGAAGCUUAUAAGCACUGAUAAAUAAAGAACAGUAGGGCAUUUAGGGCAUUUAUAGUAUGGUCUGAAAGGCUUUGAGUUGGAUCUGCACUAUUAUGUUUCUUGUGUACAUAAUAUGAACUGAAUCAGCCCAAGAAGAACUUUACCUUGGCAACCAAAGAGAAUCAUUACAUACAUGUCAAAGGUAUCCUAAGCUUGAUAUAAUGAACGAAAGCCCCAAAUCGCAUAAAUAUGCCCUGCAUCACAAAUGGGAACAAAUAAACCUAUCAACAAUAUCGUUUUGCCCUCCAAAGUUGUAUAUGCAAUUCCUAACUGAAACAAUUAAUCACAGCAUAGAGAAUUUUGAGUAGCAGCGUGUGUUGUUUCAAGCUAAACAGUUUGAUCACACAUGACAGUGUUGAAGUACAUGCAGAGGGAAAUUUCUCCACACAACCUACACACUAUAACUGAAUAAUGCCAUACACAUUAAAAGCAAAUCAAGACUGGCACUGUAACUAAAUCAAGGCUUACACAUUAGAAGCAAAUCACGGUUGUAAUCAUCAACAACUAAGGUCCAACCACUUCCUUCUCAUGGCCCUAUGACACUGAGCUAGAACGAAAAGGAAAAAAGAGAACAGGAACGACCAGGCAGCUAUUGUCGCGGAGCCGCAGCUGUCUUCAUCGCGGUCCUGGUCAAGCCGACACUCUCCCUUCCCUUCUCAUGGCACUGAGCGAGGCUCUCAUGGAGAGGGAGAGGAGAAGAUGGCAGUGGCGGCGGCCGGAGAGGGACAGGAGAAGAGGGCAGCGGCGGCACCCUAUUGACUCCAUCCGGGCGACCGAUUCAACUGGAGGGGAGGCCAAGAUUGAUGAAUCAGACGGUCCCCGAGCCAUAUUUGACACCGCAGAGAGGGAGCGGCGGUGGCAGCACGGUAGAGGAGAAGGGAGCUGCGGCGGCGACGGCGCUUGCGAGCGGAGGAGGUGGGCGUCUGGGCGCCGGAUCCGCCGGCGAGGAGACCGGGGUCACCGGAUCCGGCGGUCCCGGCCUCCUCACUAGGAGAUCCGGCGGGUCAUUGGGAGGGAGCGGCGGCGGCAGCACAGUAGAGGAGAGGGAGCUGCGGCGACGACGGCGCACGCGAGCGCAAGAGGCGGGCGAGGUUGCGGUGCGAGCUGAGGAGGUGGGCGACGGCGCACGCGAGCGCAGGAGGCGGGCGAGGUUGCAGAGCGAGCGGAGGAGGUUGCGGCGCGCGUGUAGGGAGAGGAGAGGACGGGCGGCUAGGGUUUGUACCGGUUGGCGAAAUCCAGGCCGUCCGUCCAUAAUCCGACGAUCGCACGGGUAAGGAAGGGCCAGCACAGCGGGACACGUGGACGGCCAGAUUGACCCUACGGUGAGAUCGGACGGUGGAAAGAAGCGAGGACCGGCGCAUAAUUAUCCGAAAGUGCAGGGGUUUUUUCGCCAAAAUUGAUGAUGUGGCACUCUACUCUUCCCGCGUUCCCACGGCUUUUAAGUAAACCUAUAUAUUAACUAUUUAGUAUUCGGUUAACCUUAUCUUGAGAGGUAGCUACAAAAUUAUGGUGCAAUACAUCUGUUCAAUACUAAUUUAGUACUUCAUCCGUUUCACUUUAUAAAACAUCUAUUUCCUUGUCUAAAUGCAACAUCUAUAUGAAAUUAUGUGUCCAAAUUCAUAUCGAACCAUACAUGAAUCUUUUUAAAAUCCAAAAAUUCUUAUAAUAUAAAUAAUUAAUUAUCACACUCCGAUUAACGACAACUUGCUUUCAUUAGGCCCCCUCCAAUAUGAGCCAAUCAUGUAUUUUCACCACGCUUUAGGACUUUGGCAUAGCAUAUGUGCUGGCCACAUGGAAGUGAUGCAACAGUUAACAACGCUUUGCUAAGAUUAGAAUAAGGCAACAUUGAAGUGAUUAAUGGGGUUGUUCUCAGUACUAACUCUGUUUUCUUAGGUUUCGUUCAUGGACGGUAGAUAUGUUCAAAGUUCGUUUCUAAUUUUCUAUGUUGCUUAAUACUUGUUUCUAAAUCAGCUCCAAACUCUUAGUAUAUAGCAUAGAAUAAUGUGAAAUACCAUGAUGUAUACAAGUAAUUCAAGAAGCUAUUUCUGUGAUAUGAAUGCAGUCCGGCCAUCGAAAAAAGCAAGAAGUUCCAAAUGUAUGGAUAAUAUGCACACCUUUAUUGUAUUUCAAUCUAUUUAAAUAUGCCAACCACUUACACUUAAUUUAUUUGGAUAAUUAUUUUUUUCACAUGUAAAAUUAUGAAAAAAUUGAUGUGAGUUGGCAUGGAACUGAAUCUCAAUUUAAUUUAGACAUAUAUACAAAUUAGGCAAAUUUUGCUAUAGGACAUCACGACUUCGUGGUUUUAGCCGUAGGACACCGCACAAACUCACUUUUAGGGGAAAAAACACUCUUUAAACGUGCUUAUUUGCCACUGGACACCACGUCCAUUAAAAUAUUAAUUUUCGGUUGAAUAGAAGAGAUAAAUAGUAUGAAAGGUCAAAAAUACCCCUGACCCCACUUGUCAUAUUCUUCCUCUUCCUCCUGGUUGUGCAGCUUCUCCCCGGACUGUUGCCGGUCCAAGUGCGUCGGCUGGAACACGCUCAUGGAUUCCCUGCCUGCUAUGUCCUGCUCGUAGUAUAGGUCCUUGAUCCUCUCGGAGUAGGCGCCAUGUAGCGACACGACGAGCACCGGCUUGCGCCUCCCCGGCCGCGCCGCCCGGCUGCUCUCCGGCAGUGGUAAAGUUGAGCUCCUGCUGCACACGGGGCAGGAUGUUCUCUCCAUGCGCGCACAACAUGAUCUGGCCGUAGAGCUCGUCGGUGGAGAUGCGCGCCAAGUAGAAGGAGCACACCUGGAUGCCGACACGCUACUCAGUGUAGGCCAUGUACGAGGCAUGGUACCACGUUCCUCGGGUGGAGCAGGUAGCGGCCGAGGAGGUGGAACGCAGCAUCGUGGCACGGGAACAUCCGCGGCAGCACGCGCUCGAUGCGCGAGACCAGGAACAGUCCGAGCACGAAGUAGUUGUCGGAGAGGAGCACCAUCCAGUCGACGCGCCACAAUGCGUCCAGCCCGUCGUCGCAGAAGAAGCGCGGCUCAUUGCCGUUGCGGUUGAAGUACGUCGUGCUGCAGGUGCAUGUACAUCCAUGGCGGUAGUGGGUCUCGGGCAGCGCGUUGCCGCGCCGCAGCGCGUUGCCGAGGCUCUCGCGGGUGCACGCGUUGAAGCCCCGGAUGCCGGAAAACGGGAAGUCCCCCUCCGGUAGUGUCCACGUUGAGCCCGGGAAUUGCUCGCAGAUGAGAUAAGGAAGAAGAGAGGAUGGGGAAGAGAAAGGAGGGGUAAUUUGGUUACUCUGCAUAAAAAUAUGGGCCCGUGUCGCCUUGUCAGCACGAAUACGUUAUUUUAAUAGGGGCAGUAUCCGCUGGCAAAUAACCACAUUUAGAGAGUGUUUUCUCCUAAAAGUGAGUUCGUGCGGUGUCCUACAACUAAAAUCACGAAAUCGCGAUGUCCUGUAACAAAAUUUGCCUACAAAUUAACGCCGAUGGCACAACAGAAAAAAGUAAAUCACUAUUUUUAUUUUAUACUCCCCCGUCUAAAAAAACAGACCUAGAACUGUAUGUGAUACAUUCUAAUACAACAAAUCUGGAUAGAGUUAUGUCCCAGAUUUGUAAUAAUAGGAUGUGUCAUAUCCAGUGCUAGAUUGGAUUUUUAUGGAACGGAUGGAGUAACUAUGAUAUAUGUUUGUGCUCGUGAUUUUGCUUUUAUAAUUGUAGUCGAUCAUCUACGGAACUAUUUAUGUGUGUAUAUGUAGCCAUUCUAUAUCUAUAUAUUAGACACUACCACUCCCCUCUCUCUCUACGUUAUCUCUUUUCUCAGCCUUCCCGGCUUACCACCUUUUCCCCACCUUCUUCCCUGCUUCCCCUCCUCUCCACCGUCAACAGCGGGCGUCGGUGGCGGCCCCGUGGGUGCGCCUCCACGCCACCCGCAGCACCCAGGAUGAGGAGGUCAAGGUCGACGCCACCAUGUUCGACGGCGCCGCCGUCCCGCCCCCAGACGCGCCCCUCUUCCGCCGCGUCGAGUCGCUCGACCACGUCCCGCGCCUCCACCUCGGCCUCAUCAUCGAGGCCUCUACCGCGACAUGUUGCACCAGCACCAGAAAUCAUGUUGUACGGAAGCUUUUGUGAUUUUGCUCUCUGGUUUAUGUGGUUUGUGAAGUUCCACUUCUGUAAAUGAUUCGCAGCAAGCUGGAGGCUAGGGAGAGGGAGUACGUGAGGAAAUUCUUGCAGGAGAGGGCGGCGGCGGCAGCGGCGGCCGGGCGAGGCGGCGCUCCCACGGGAGAUUCACGACGAGAUCGGCCUAGAGUUCCUCGGCAACGUCACCGGCAAGCCAUACACGCUCCACGCCAACAUCUUCGCCAACGGCGUCGGCAGCCGCGAGCAGCAGUCGUCGCAUCUCCUCCUGGUCGUGGUCCUCAUCGUGCACAUCGUCGCUCGGCUCCCUUGACGACGAUGCCGUCGUUGCGUGCGUCGUCAAGGCGGCGGCGAGCGGGCGAGCGGGCGGCGGCCAUUUUCACUUUUUUUUUGUUUUUUUUCCGUGCGAGCGGUAUAAUAUGACCGCAUCGGGAUAAUCGAUUAUCCCGUGCGGUCCAUUAUCCCAUACGGUUGGGCCGUCCGUACGCGAAAAUAUUGAUUUUUUCAGACAUUUGGGUAUAGACGGGCAAAUCCUCCGCACAGAAAAAUCAUUUUGACCGCAAGGAAAAAUGGUUUUCGCAGUAACGAGAGACCGAAGAAGAUUGUACAAUUAUUAAUUGGGUAAUUUGUAACCAUGCCAUUAUAAUUUUUUAAAGUUUAAGAUAUGCCAUCGGUAUCUCAAUGACACGUAGGACCCACAUGAAUCAAUGACAUGUGGGUCAGGAUGGCAUAUCUCAAAUUUUACAAAAUUAUAAUGGCAUGGUUACAAUUUUCCCUUAUUAAUUUAUGUUCGCAUCGCGUGCGGUUUGAUAAGUGAUUUAACUAGGUUCCUUGUUUUGUCUAAAGCACCACCACCAGAAUCAUCAGUAUAUUUUACUGUGGAUUUUGGAGUACAAUUAAAAAUUCUAUUACACUGACUUAAAAUUUGAAUGACUUUUACCUUUUUAAACUCUAUGGAUGAACCCUAAAAAAAUAAUUGCCGAACAAAAUAUUAUUUCAAACUGGGAGAUGAUGUGGCAGUUUUUUUUAAUUUUAUACAGUGGAUUUUUGGAGUACAAUUAUUUUACCAUUGGCAAGAUGAGCAUAUAUUAUUUUUUUAAAACUUUAAUUUGUUGGAUGGAUAGUAUGAGUACAUUUUAUACAAUCUAUAUGUUCUUUUAUACAGGCUCUGUGUACAGCUCAGAUGAUGCACUUUUCCUGUGUGAAACUCUGAAGUAUGAUUCAUGUCAGGCACGUUUUUUUAGGAUAAUGUCACGUGCCUCUUUUAUUUUUUGCCACGUGUUUGAAAAUUAUUUUAUUUUAGGAUUUUUAUUCAUAUUAAAAUGGAUUGUCCAUUUUAUUUUUUUUAUAUGUAUGACUAUAGUGUACUUUGAGAUAUGUAUGAAUAUGUGUAGCCAUUCUAUGAAGCUUUUUAUUCGGUCAUUCUAUAUCUAUAUAAUGAUUAAUUUAUGAUGAUUAAUUUAUGUGUGCAUGCGUACAGUUUGAUAAGUGAUUUUGGUAUUCGGGCCUUGGCCGUAUUUAGUUCCUCCAAAAUUUUUUUGACACCACAGACACACAUUUAAAGUAUUAAACAUAGACUAAUAAAACAAAUUACAGAUUCCACCUAUAAACUGCGAGACGAAUUUAUUAAGCCUAAUUAAUCUAUCAUUAGCAAAUAUUUACUGUAGCACCACAUUGUCAAAUUAUAGCGUAAUUAGGCUCAAAAGAUUCGUCUCGCAAUUUACAUGCAAACAAUGCAAUUGAUUUUUUUUUCAUCCACAUUUAAUGCUUCAUGCAUGUGUCCAAACAUUUGAUGUGACGGAAUUUUUGGAAGUUUGAAGGGAACUAAACACAACCCUUAUUUAGAUCCCAAAAAAUUUUGGCCAAAAACGUCACAUCAAAUGUUUGGACAAAUGCAUGGGGCAUUAAAUGUGGAAAAAAAAUCAAUUGCAUAGUUUGCAUGUAAAUUGCGAGACGAAUCUUUUGAGCCUAAUUAUGCCAUGAUUUGACAAUGUGAUGCUACAGUAAAUAUUUGCUAAUGACGAAUUAAUUAGACUUAAUAAAUUCAUCUCGCAGUUAUAGGCGGAAUCUGUAAUUUGUUUUGUUAUUAGUCUACGUUUAAUAAUUUAAAUGUGUGUCCGUAUACUUCAAAAACUUUGCACCCAAACAACUAAACACACCCUCAGGCAAUAUAACUUGGUUCUUUUUUUCUCUAAUGCAGCACCACCAUAGUCAACUGUAGAGUUAUCCCUUGGUAUGUGAAGUGAUGAUCAGAGCCAAUGUACCUCUCAAACCGACUCACAAAUGGAUAUCAUCAUUGUUGAAAGAAGGGUUUCAUCGGGGUUUUAACCGAUGAGGUAUGUAGAUGUUGCAUCGGCUUACAAAGAUUGCAUAUAAGUUGGAUUUAGCCAUUCGCAACAAAGGUUUCACUGUUUAUCUAAUCUUGUGGAUUUUAUGACAUGGGACCUCCAGCCAAUAUAUGCUUUAACCAUCGGAAUAUUUAUUUUAUCAUAUCAUUGUUAGCCGAUUAGUUUCUACUGGAUUAUAUUAUUGUUAUUUAUCAUCAUCGGCUGAUGGCCUUUAUGUCAUUUAUUUACUCAAGUAUCAGACUUUGCAUUGGACAUAUAGCCGAUUGCUCAAAACCCUAUCAACAUCUGCUGGUAUCGGCAUCAGUUGGAAUUACUCCGUCUGCUUGUCAGCCAAUCGGCUCAUUGAUCUACUAUUUGCAUAUCUUAUCAGUUGCAGGAUCAAACUGACUGACACUUCUGCAUCUCAUCAACCUUUUGACCUGCACUGGAGCUAAGUAGAUCUCCCAUGCCGUUGGGUUUGUUGACUUAAUUUUGCGCCAACACAGUUCUGGCACCAUCGGCCGAGCGCGGUUUUUUCGUCAACAGGGGGUAAAAUGAAAAAAAAAGGAGAUGCUAAGGUGCCUAUUUUUUCCUCUCAGGGUGGGAUGAGGAUUUGUGGAAGGAUUCCUUAGAAAAGAAGUUUCUUGAAGGGUAUUGAAAAUAUUUCGCAAACUGAGGAAAUAACGGCUAGAAGCAUCGGAACGAAGAAUUGAACGGCUAAAGUUCCCUUAAUGACGUGGUGUUGUAUUUUGCAAGGAAAGGUUUCACUUUUCACUUAUUUAGAUAUAACACACAUGCAUGUAUUUUCGUGCAACUAGUGACUUGCAACACAUGAUCCCUGCUAGAUGCCUGUUGGCAGUCAUUAAACCCUAAAAUCACCACCAAUAUUAUAAUAAAAAUAUCACAUAAAGCAUGUUACCUAGGUCGAUUUUGCCUUAUUUCAAUGAGUUACACGAUUUCUGUUGGAUUUCACUACGCGUAUAAUAAUUCACGAUUUUGACCUAUUUUUUUUCCAAUGAAAAUCUGGCAUUUUAAGCCAAAGGGCUGACCAGCCGACCAACAUACCUCAUGGGUCAACCGGCCUAAAGACUUGGCCGACUAGCCAACUCAGGGCUCGGCCAGCUAUUUGGAAACGUGUCCUGAUUGGCCACCCUCCUCACUGAGCCGGCUGGCCUGCGCAGCACGAUGUGAGGCUAAUGAUUGAUUGGUGGACCCCAUUCUGGGAGUGAUGUCUUCUCGGAUGAGUAACAUGUAGACUUACUUUUCCCUCUUAAUAUUUUAUUCAUACAUUAUGCUUAUUGCCAUACUUUUUUUCCUAGUUCUCUUCUAAGUUUAUUUUUUAUGCUUGCUUGAGUGGAUGCCUCAUUUAUAAUUAAGCUGGGAACAUGUAUAGUUCUAUGUGUGGGUGUGGUGCUUAGGAAUAGUUUUAUCUAGGAAGGCUGGUUGGGGAAACAGAGGACGUAGUUGGCCGGGUGCCGACAGCCUCGGUUGUCCUUUGAAGCCAGCCACGUUAACCCUAAUUACGCUGACGCAAAUAGGUAGACCAAUGCUUAAUGUGGAAAGCAGUCCUGUUUCCAAAGCAAGCAAGGAUAAGUGUAGCUAAAUGGAUUUCCUAGAAUGAAAGCAGUCUUGUGAUGUGGGGAAUAACCCGGGGACUUGAAUCCUGACUAAUUCGAUGAUUUCACAACCAUAUCAUCACAUUCACACAACAAAUACAUAUAUAUAGACAAUAAUGUUCACAUUUCUAAGUGUUAACAAAAGACACACAUCACAUUGGACUAACUGGUCAAAUAAAAGAGAGUCAAACAUAGCGCAAUAAGAGAACAAAAAAAUAUAUACAUUCUUUAGUAUGCCAUCUAACUAACUAGGAAUUACUACCCAUGUCGAAACGCGGAUGACCGCACCGAGAAGGCAAAUUCUUCUUUGCCAAUCGAAGAGCACAAACAAGAAUGAGAUAGAAUACAACCAAAAUUACAGAUGAAUGAUUAAGCUCACAAGUUGGGGUCUUACAAACCGAUCUAGCGGCGAAACUAUUCUCGACAGAAUAUUCUAAGCAAAACCCGACUCUAAACGAUGACGGCUACUUAAUUAAUAUGAUUAGGGACGUCCUAGGGUUGCCCUAGGGCGCACACCCUCAUGGGCUAAGCCCACGACACAAUUAUAAGGCCCAAAACCCAAAUCAGAUUUGGAUUGGAUGAGAUACAUAACUUGUUUUGUAGAUUCCCGACAGCUCGGUAGGAAUUUUGACGUAGGACCAAAACCAUCUAAAAGUAGACUCCAUAAGCUUUCCAACAAGUACUCAUAGGCCCCGAAAUUCCUUCUAGAUCAACAUCUAGGUUCGUUUGAAGUUGAUGCUGUCAGGAGGCCCGAAUCCGAAUCCAAAACGUGUAGAACUUGAUCUCUUGUCUUCUAUGGACCAAAAGUGACGUGGUGAGGUAGAAGUAGACUUGGAGAAGGUCUUGGUUUGGUCCCCAAUCAACUUCUUUGAUCAUCCAUGCAUUCGUUACGCUCGGUCUCUUUUCCUUCGCCCAAGCAAGUACCUCUACAAACAAAAACACAUCAUUGUGUAGCAACGUUUGUUCAAAUAUAUAACAAGUAAAUCUAAUGUAGAACAUAUGUACCUUUGUUUGAUUAAUAUAUAAGGUAUCCAUGGUUAUAUCCAAACUAGUAGUGUCCUCAUCACCUAGCUAGAAGUAUCAUGACGCUAAUGGUGGUGGAUAGAAAAUGGCAAAGGAAGGGAGAUAGUGCUGUUUCCAAAGGCAGAGAUGAAGUAAAAUAGGGUUCAAUGUAAAACAAAAGGGAGAGAGAGAGAGAGCUCAAAGUGAAAAGAAUGUGUAAAGGAGGGCAAAAGUGAAACUUUUGUAGUAAAGAGGUCCACAUUGCAAACCAUCUCUAUGUUUUAAGUUUUGAUGCAUGUAAAAAUAAUGUGACUGUGACAUCCCGGCCCAAUUUGGAUUAGGCCUGUGUGGCCCAUGUGAGUUGUGUGCGUAUGUUUAGUACGACCUUAUUAGUUUAGCAUGAGUGGAACUAACUUAUAAGGCCUCUUCCCUCCAACCAUACCCUUUUACACGAAGCGAGGACGAAAGUGUAAGUGGAGUGAUGUGUGUAAGUGGGCCCGCUACGUGGUUCUGGAGGGAGGGCUGUAACAAAUGGUAUCGGAGCCGACCCUUGCGAUUGCGCGUACGGGUCAGUGUGCGGGCAUAUGGCGCUGGCACUGGACGUACGGAUGUGCGCUUCGCGGUUGCGCGUACAGGUCAGUGUGCGGGCAUAUGGCGCAUGGCGCAUGUGGGCUCUGUGUGAGGCACAUGGCAUGGCAUAUGGCGCUAGCACUGGACGUACGGAUGUGCGCUGAGAGGGGGUGUGUUCCUGGACAGUUGCCUAUAUGCCUGUGUGGCUACAUGGGUAAGUUGGGCCGACAGGGAUGUCGGGUCCUUUGAGGGGGGGGGGGGUUGUGACAUCCCAGCCCAAUUUGGAUUAGGCCUGUGUGGCCCCACUCCCGGGUUAACCCUUUUAUACGAAGCGAUGACGGAAGUGUAAGUGGAGUGGUAUGUGUAAGUGGGCCCGCCCGUCGGAUGGGCUGGCUACACGGUUCUGUAGGGAGGGCUGUGACAGUGACGUGGUCAUCACUUCCAACUUAAAUGCUAAAAAUAUUGUUCUCAAUUUGUAACCUCCAUUGAGAGUAUUAUCAUGUUCUUAGUAAUUGCUUAUUGAUAUUUUUAUGGAAAAAGAGGUGUAGGCAAUCUUCUUCACAUUAUUCAUUACAGUAAGAUCGUUACACAUUUAGUUUACUUCUCGUUGAUCUGCCACUCAGCAUACUGUUGCGGCCCACGCCUCGGAGCAAAGACAGCCAUCUCAUCGCCGCGGUUGAACUUUACAUGCCUAGAGUCCUCCCUUGAAAGCCUAUAAGCAUUGGCGACCACGUCAACGGGUAGAGCACGAAGAAUGGAGGCCUUCCCUGCGAUCUGACUGUCGACAGCAUUGUGAUUGGUCUUGAAGGAUACCCAUGC
rnacentral:lncRNA from 1 species